rnacentral:rRNA from 1 species
CGGUAAUACGGGAGUGGCAAGCGUUAUCCGGAAUUAUUGGGCGUAAAGCGUCCGCAGGCGGUCUUGUAAGUCUGUUGUUAAAGCGUGGAGCUUAACUCCAUUUCAGCAAUGGAAACUGCAAGRCUAGAGUGUGGUAGGGGCAGAGGGAAUUCCCGGUGUAGCGGUGAAAUGCGUAGAUAUCGGGAAGAACACCAGUGGCGAAGGCGCUCUGCUGGGCCAUAACUGACGCUCAUGGACGAAAGCCAGGGGAGCGAAAGGGAUUAGAUACCCCUGUAGUCCUGGCCGUAAACGAUGAACACUAGGUGUCGGGGGAAUCGACCCCCUCSGUGUCGUAGCCAACGCGUUAAGUGUUCCGCCUGGGGAGUACGCACGCAAGUGUGAAACUCAAA